UAUCCUGGCUCAGAGCGAACGCUGGCGGCAGGCCUAACACAUGCAAGUCGAACGGACUCUUCGGAGUUAGUGGCGGACGGGUGAGUAACACGUGGGAACGUGCCUUUAGGUUCGGAAUAAGCCCGGGAAACUGGGUCUAAUACCGAAUGUGCCCUUCGGGGGAAAGAUUUAUCGCCUUUAGAGCGGCCCGCGUCUGAUUAGCUAGUUGGUGAGGUAAAGGCUCACCAAGGCGACGAUCAGUAGCUGGUCUGAGAGGAUGAUCAGCCACACUGGGACUGAGACACGGCCCAGACUCCUACGGGAGGCAGCAGUGGGGAAUCUUGCGCAAUGGGCGAAAGCCUGACGCAGCCAUGCCGCGUGAAUGAUGAAGGUCUUAGGAUUGUAAAAUUCUUUCACCGGGGACGAUAAUGACGUA
rnacentral:rRNA from 1 species